UACGUAGGGUGCGAGCGUUGUCCGGAAUUAUUGGGCGUAAAGAGCUCGUAGGCGGUUCGUCGCGUCGGCUGUGAAAACCCGGAGCUCAACUCCGGGCCUGCAGUCGAUACGGGCGGACUUGAGUGUUGCAGGGGAGACUGGAAUUCCUGGUGUAGCGGUGAAAUGCGUAGAUAUCUGGAGGAAUACCGGUGGCGAAGGCGGCAUCCUGGACCGACAUUGACGCGUGAGUGAGCGAAAGCUAGGGGAG
rnacentral:rRNA from 1 species